rnacentral:lncRNA from 1 species
GAACGCGUGCGGUCUCUGGUUAGCACGCGGAGUGACCGGCUGUAGUUGUCUUUCUGAUUUUAUGCGUCAAAGUAAAGGAUCCUCUCGGGACCUUGUCCAUGUGCGCGCGAGGAGGGCGAAGGUUGUGGAGGGCGGGCUCUGACACACUCCGUAGGACGGAAAUCCGAGUAAGCGCGGAAUCGUCAAUCCCCUAUGCGGCGAAAGAACCUUCCGUAAUGUGGACAAAGAGCGGUAGAAAAGGGACGAGACGGAGGACAAUUGCCGCAGAGGGCAGCCCUUCAGAAAGGAAUGUUCGCAGGAACCGUGCCAAGUUUUGCCGUCUUCCUGAGGUUGUGAAUGUACUGAUUGAGAGAGGAACCGCAGCUCUAAAAACCCCGUAGGGUAUUCCUCUUCCGGCGCUACGAAGGGAAACUGUGUCGAACCCAACAUGAGGCGUUUAUCCUCGCUUUUUCACAAGGAAUCAACUCACACUGGCUUUCAGCCAGCGCCGUUGACGCGGCGAACCACCAAGGAUUCGUUUAUCGCCUAGCGGGGCCUCAAAGUGUCUUGAGAGGGAGCACUGAGCAGGAUUUGUUUCGUGCAGAAUUCGAUUGAAUGAAUAAUUCUCUCUCGUGGGAAGAUCACACAGUGUGCGGCAUAUGCGCGCGCGUACGCGGCACAAACCAGCGUGGCCCACAGCGGCGCCCCGCAAAUUCGUUGGUAAAAUGCAACCCAUGCAUUUACGAAGGUGUUGAAAC